GACGAACGCUGGCGGCGUGCUUAACACAUGCAAGUCGAACGAAGUGGCGAACGGGUGAGUAACGCGUAAUCAACCUGCCCUUCAGAGGGGGACAACAGUUGGAAACGACUGCUAAUACCGCAUACUGAAGGAGGGGAUUGCGUCGGAUUGGCUAGUUGGAGGGGUAACGGCCCACCAAGGCGAUGAUCAGUAGCCGGUUGGCGCGUAUGAACGGCCACAUUGGGACUUGGGCACGGCCCAGGAUCCUACGGGAGGCAGCAGGGGGGAAUCUUCCGCAAUGGACGAAAGUCUGACGGAGCAACGCCGCGUGGGUGAUGACGGCCUUCGGGUUGUAAAGCUCUGUUAAGCGGGACGCGGUACCGGAAUAGAAAGCCACGGCUAACUACGUGCCAGCAGACGCGGUAAUUC
rnacentral:rRNA from 1 species